GUUCGCGCUGCGGCGGGAGGUGGCGGUCCGGGUGGGAGGUGUGUGCGCGCGCGUGUGCCGCGCUGUAGGGAGCUGCGGGUCUCACUGCCCGCUGUCAACGAGCUCAGCACCUCCGCGCGAUGGCUGGAGGAGACGCAUGGGACCAGCCCCGUGGGGCCGGCCGCGGCUGAGCCCCUCUGCCGCCUCCUGCGAGCAUGUCACCUCCAGCCUACGAGGUCGCUUUCGCUAGCAGGGUCCCUGCCUCCGCCUUCUGCAGCCGCAGCCGCUGCCUGGAGCAGUGGCCCCCGGACCCCCGCCCCUGAUCCGCGCCCAGACCCUGGUGCCGGAGGACCAUGGCUGGCCAGGGCGACUGCUGCGUCAAAGUGGCCGUCAGGAUCCGGCCCCAGCUGUCAAAGGAGAAGAUUGAAGGCUGUCACAUCUGUACCUCCGUUACCCCGGGAGAGCCCCAGGUCCUGCUGGGGAAGGACAAGGCCUUCACCUAUGACUUUGUCUUUGACCUGGACACCUGGCAGGAGCAAAUCUAUUCGACCUGUGUGAGCAAACUCAUCGAAGGCUGCUUUGAGGGCUAUAAUGCCACAGUCCUAGCCUAUGGACAGACAGGGGCUGGGAAGACAUAUACUAUGGGCACCGGCUUUGACACAGUGACAUCAGAAGAGGAGCAGGGCAUCAUCCCAAGGGCCAUUGCACAUCUCUUCAGGGGCAUCGACGAACGCAAGCGGCGGGCACAAGAGAAGGGUGUGACUGGGCCUGAGUUCAAAGUCAGUGCUCAAUUCCUGGAGCUCUACAAUGAAGAGAUCCUUGACCUAUUUGACAGCACCCGUGACCCCGAUGCCCGACACCGCAGGUCCAACAUCAAGAUCCACGAGGAUGCCAACGGUGGCAUCUACACCACAGGUGUCACUUCUCGCCUGAUCAACUCCCAGGAGGAGCUGAUCCAGUGCCUGAAGCAGGGCGCCCUGUCACGUACCACAGCCAGCACCCAGAUGAAUGUACAGAGCUCCCGAUCCCAUGCCAUCUUCACCAUCCACCUGUGCCAGAUGCGCGUGUGUGCCCAGCCUGACCUGGUGAAUGAGACCGUGACUGGGCUUCCAGAUGGAGCCGCCCCCACAGGCACUGAGUACGAGACUCUCACUGCUAAGUUUCACUUCGUGGACUUGGCUGGCUCAGAGCGGCUGAAGCGGACAGGGGCCACCGGCGAACGGGCCAAAGAGGGCAUCUCCAUCAACUGUGGUCUGCUGGCCUUGGGCAAUGUGAUCAGCGCCUUGGGGGACCAGAGCAAGAAGGUCGUGCACGUGCCUUACAGGGACUCCAAGCUCACUCGGCUGCUCCAGGACUCUCUUGGAGGCAACAGCCAGACCAUCAUGAUCGCCUGUGUGAGCCCCUCGGAUCGGGACUUCAUGGAGACACUUAACACUCUCAAAUAUGCCAACCGGGCCCGCAACAUCAAAAACAAAGUGGUGGUGAACCAGGACAAGACCAGCCAGCAGAUCAGCGCGCUGCGGGCUGAGAUCGCACGCCUGCAGAUGGAGUUGAUGGAGUACAAAGCGGGCAAGCGAGUGAUUGGGGAGGACGGUACAGAGGGCUACAGUGACCUGUUCCGAGAGAACGCCAUGCUGCAGAAGGAGAAUGGGGCGCUGCGGCUCCGAGUGAAGGCCAUGCAGGAAGCCAUUGAUGCCAUCAACAACCGGGUCACACAACUCAUGAGCCAGGAGGCCAACCUGCUUCUGGCCAAGGCUGGUGAUGGCAAUGAGGCCAUUGGUGCUCUGAUCCAGAACUACAUCCGGGAGAUCGAGGAGCUGCGAACAAAGCUCCUGGAGAGUGAGGCUAUGAAUGAGUCCCUCCGCAGAAGCCUCUCCCGGGCUUCCGCUCGGAAUCCCUACUCCCUGGGAGCAUCUCCAGCAGGUCCAGCCUUUGGGGGCAGCCCCGCCACCUCCAUGGAAGAUGCUUCUGAAGUGAUCCGCAAGGCUAAGCAAGACCUGGAGCGGCUGAAAAAGAAGGAGGUCAGGCAGCGGAGGAAGAGCCCAGAGAAAGAAGCGUUCAAGAAGAGGGCAAAACUCCAGGCAGAAAACAGUGAGGAGACAGACGAGAACGAGGCUGAGGAGGAGGAGGAAGAGCGAGAUGAAAGUGGCUGUGAGGAGGAGGAAGGUCGUGAGGAUGAGGAUGAAGACUCGGGCAGUGAAGAGAGCCUGGUAGACUCAGACUCCGACCCUGAAGAAAAGGAAGUGAACUUCCAGGCCGACCUGGCAGACCUGACGUGUGAGAUCGAGAUCAAGCAGAAGCUGAUCGACGAGCUGGAGAACAGCCAGCGGCGGCUGCAGACGCUCAAGCACCAGUACGAGGAGAAGCUAAUUCUGCUGCAGAACAAGAUCCGGGAUACGCAGCUGGAGCGUGACCGCGUGCUGCAGAACCUCAGCACUAUGGAGUGCUACACGGAAGAGAAGGCCAACAAGAUAAAGGCAGAUUAUGAGAAGAGACUGCGGGAGAUGAACCGGGACCUGCAGAAGCUACAGGCUGCUCAAAAAGAACAUGCCAGGCUACUCAAGAACCAGUCUCGCUAUGAAAGGGAGCUGAAGAAGCUACAAGCGGAGGUAGCUGAGAUGAAGAAGGCCAAGGUAGCCCUCAUGAAGCAAAUGCGUGAGGAGCAGCAGCGGCGGCGACUGGUGGAGACCAAGAGGAACCGGGAGAUUGCUCAGCUCAAGAAGGAGCAACGGAGGCAGGAGUUUCAGAUACGAGCCCUGGAAUCUCAGAAGCGCCAGCAGGAAAUAGUUCUGAGGAGGAAAACCCAGGAGGUUUCUGCACUGAGGCGCCUGGCAAAGCCCAUGUCUGAGCGAGUGGCUGGGCGUGUAGGAUUGAAGCCCCCCAAUAUGGAUUCUGGGGCUGAGGUGUCUGCCAGCACCACCUCGUCUGAGGCUGAGUCGGGAGCCCGCUCCGUCUCCAGCAUAGUGCGUCAGUGGAACCGGAAGAUCGACCACUUCCUGGGAGACCGCCCCACCGCCACUGUCAAUGGCGGCCGCCCAGCCAGGAAAAAGUUCCAAAAGAAGGGAGCCAGCCAAAGCUUCAGUAAGGCUGCGAGACUCAAAUGGCAGUCCCUGGAACGGAGGAUCAUUGACAUUGUCAUGCAGAGAAUGACCAUCGUCAACCUGGAGGCUGAUAUGGAGCGUCUCAUAAAGAAAAGGGAGGAGCUCUUCCUCCUGCAGGAGGCGCUGCGGAGGAAGCGGGAGCACCUGCAGGCUGAGAGCCCAGAGGAGGAGAAGGGGCUCCAGGAGCUGGCUGAGGAGAUCGAAGUGUUGGCAGCCAAUAUUGACUACAUCAACGACAGCAUCACUGACUGCCAAGCCACCAUCGUGCAGCUGGAGGAAACCAAGGAGGAGCUGGACUCAACAGACACGUCAGUGGUCAUUAGCUCCUGCUCUCUGGCUGAAGCCCGCCUCCUGCUAGACAACUUCCUCAAGGCGUCCAUUGACAAGGGACUUCAAGUAGCACAGAAGGAAGCCCAGAUCCGGCUGCUAGAAGGACGCCUUAGACAGACAGACAUGACAGGCUCUUCCCAGAACCACCUGCUCCUAGACGCUUUGCGUGAGAAGGCCGAGGCACACCCCGAGCUGCAGGCCCUCAUCUACAAUGUGCAGCAUGAGAAUGGCUAUGCAAGCACAGAUGAGGAAGUUUCUGAGUUCUCUGAGGGGAGCUUUUCCCAGUCAUUUACCAUGAAAGGCUCCACCAGCCACGAUGACUUCAAGUUCAAGGGUGAGCCCAAGCUAUCCGCACAGAUGAAGGCCGUGUCUGCGGAGUGCCUAGGACCCCCAUUGGACAGCUCUACCAAGAACAUCACCAAGUCCCUGGCCUCCCUCGUUGAGAUCAAAGAGGAUGGGGUGGGCUUCUCUAUCCGGGACCCCUACUACCGGGACAAGGUCUCACGCACCGUCAGCCUGCCCACCCGGGGCAGCACUUUCCCUCGGCAAUCUCGAGGUGCCACGGACACGUCUCCUCUUACCCGAAGGAAGUCUUAUGACCGGGGACAGCCCAUCAGAUCCACAGACAUGGGAUUCACACCUCCCUCAUCACCUCCCACUCGGCCCCGCAACGACCGCAACGUCUUCUCUCGUCUCACCAGCAAUCAGAGCCAGGGCUCAGCACUGGACAAGUCUGAUGACAGCGACUCCUCUUUGUCGGAGGUCCUGAGGGGCAUCAUCACCCCCAUUGGCGGAGCUAAGGGAGCGCGGACGGCCCCGCUGCAGUGCAUCUCCAUGGCCGAGGGUCACACCAAGCCCAUCCUCUGCCUGGAUGCCACCGAUGAGCUGCUUUUCACGGGAUCCAAAGACCGUAGCUGCAAGAUGUGGAACCUGGUGACAGGGCAGGAGAUUGCAGCUCUCAAGGGUCACCCCAACAACGUGGUUUCUAUCAAAUACUGCAGCCACUCGGGGCUGGUGUUCUCUGUGUCCAGCUCCUACAUCAAGGUGUGGGAUAUCCGGGACUCAGCCAAGUGCAUUCGGACACUCACGUCCUCAGGCCAGGUGAUCUCAGGAGAUGCGUGCAUAGCCACAUCCACCCGCGCCAUCACCAGUGCCCAGGGGGAACAUCAGAUCAACCAGAUGGCCCUCAGCCCCUCAGGCUCCAUGCUAUACGUUGCCUCUGGCAAUGCUGUCCGCAUCUGGGAGCUCAACAGGUUCCAGCCCAUUGGCAAACUGACUGGCCACAUUGGCCCAGUGAUGUGCCUAACAGUCACCCAGACUUCAAACCAGCAUGACCUCGUGGUGACGGGCUCCAAGGACCACUAUGUGAAGAUGUUCCAGCUGGGCGACUGUGUGACGGGCACCAUUGGCCCAACCCACAACUUUGAGCCCCCUCACUAUGAUGGUAUUGAAUGCCUGGCUAUCCAAGGAGACAUACUCUUCAGUGGCUCCAGAGACAAUGGCAUCAAGAAGUGGGACCUGGACCAGCAGGAGCUCAUCCAGCAAAUCCCCAACGCUCACAAGGACUGGGUGUGCGCCCUGGCCUUUGUACCCGGCCGGCCCAUGCUGCUGAGCGCCUGCCGGGCCGGCUUCAUCAAGGUCUGGAAUGUGGACAACUUCACACCCAUUGGUGAGAUCAAGGGCCACGACAGCCCCAUCAAUGCCAUCUGCACCAACAGCAAGCACAUCUUCACGGCCUCCAGUGACUGCCGGGUAAAGCUGUGGAAUUACGUCCCUGGACUCACCCCCUGCCUUCCUCGACGAGUCCUGGCCAUAAAGGGCCGCGCCACCACCCUGCCCUGACCUUCCCCCUCCCCCUCUCACUCUUCCCAUCUUGCCUUUUCCUGUCUUUCCCCCACCUCGAUCUGAGCUGCUUCUUCACGUGACCUGACAGUGAAGUUCUGGAGCAUACGGCGGCUACCAGCAGCCCACCCUUGAAGUUAGGACUAAAGGUGGCUAGACCGUCAGAUCAGACCCAGCAGCCUACCCAGCACGGAAAGGAAGCUGUGGCCCGACCUUACCGGAACAGCCAAGUUCACCGGAGUACAGAGGGUGUGGCUCUUCUCUCGCUCUGCUUCCUCCACCACCCCUUCUGUCCCUCCCCUGCCUCCUAAGAAAGACGAGGUGGAGGAGGGACACAAGCUGUGAAGCCAAAGGGCACGAUUCCCCAAGCUGCUGCUCCACCUGUUCCCAAGCCUUCCUCUCAACUGGCCACAUUGUCUCCUGCUGAGCCAGCCCUGCCCCUCCCCCAGGCCCUCAGCCUCGGUUGAGACCGAGGGAGAAGCAGGGAGAAGCCCCCAUCUAUCUUCCAGUGAGCUAGCCUCCUCUGUGUCUCCUAGCCCCACCUCCGGAGCCGCUUCACCUGCCUCUGAGCCCACCAAGGUAGUUCUCAGGUAACCAUGGAAACCAGAUGUAAGCAGCUGAGUCCUGCCGCUCACCCACAGCCAAUCCCAGUGGGGCCCCGGCCCAGUCUUUCCUUGAGGUUCUCUUCUGCUGGGGCCUCAGUGGAGCUGUUUAAACAGUUCCUUUGGGGGGAAGGUCAGCGGCACUGCAGUCAUUUAAUAUAUUGAUUUUUAUUUUUGUGUUCUGCUGUUUGCCUCCUGGAAACUGACUUGAAGUUUCUUCCCAUUCUUCCCUCCCCUCCUGGCACGGAGGUGGGGUGGGGUGGGGUGGGGGUGGGGGCCUUCCCUCUGCUUGCUCUGCAGAUGAGGGGAUAGCCUUCUCUAUCCUUUGCAGCUCUGACAAUUGCCCCGGACCUGCCCAUGCCGGCAUACCUUCUAGGAUAGACCAGGUCUCUAGGCCGCCUAAUGCCGCAGUGCCUUUCUCCAUCCUGAGGCCUGAUAUCAUGCCGGGCAGCCUUAUACUAGCCAUGCCCGCAGCCCACUUGUGUCUUCUACUCCUGGGCCUGGUGCCCACAGCCCCUGAAGGUCAGAGCAUUCACCCCAACGGCCCAGUACCAGGGAGCUUGGUGGACUGCCCACUAGGUAGGCUUUGAGUAGUAAGGGUACCAGGUCCUUUGCCUAACCCCCCAGCCAGUUAUGUUUCCACCCCCAAGGGGCUAGGGAACAUCUUCAGCUUCUUUUCCUUUAGUUGUUCCAGAAACAGCCUUAAAACCAGCCUGGGACAAAGGCCCUCCCUUUUCAAUUAGCGUGAGGAGGCAGUGACUCCUUGCUUCUCCCCUUGGUGCUGUGGACUCAGCUGCUGGGAUGAGGUGAAGUCAGUGUCUAGCGCCCCCUACUGGAACAACUCUGAAUUUAUAGAACUGGGCCAUGAGAGGGGCCAGCUCCGUUCCUCCCCCGGCUUCCCCUGCCCUUAAACUGGUCCACACUUACUCUAUUGCUUCACUGGUCUUAUGCAUCCUGGUCUCAUUCCGGGAUCCAUGAGCCUCAGCCCCAUUCAGAGGCCGUGGUGACUUGUGGAGAGCUAGCAUAGCGCCACUGUACUUAGCUCUUCUCCCUCUAGGGCGAGUACGUUGGUGCCUGUCCAUGAGGCCCUAGGAUGGGAGAGUUAGGAACUGAUAAGGUCAGACCCUCUCUGAACCUUCCCAGAGCUGUGUCUGAAGCUGAAACUAAGAAGAUUGUCCCGCUUAUUGGUGGCUCCAGCCAGACACGGUGUUAAGUCUGGGUAAGUGGAUAUUUAGAACGGAGCACCGGAAAAGCAGAUCACCUGGAACCUGGACCGUCUGUCUGCAAAGACCAGAAAUCCUCCUUCCCCUGCUCAUCCUGGGAGUGUUAAGGAACAUCCUUAGCACUCAGAAGUGACCACAUCUUCUCCUUCACCCAUCUCCACCUAAAUGGAAAGCCCGGACCUUACACCCUGUAAGAAAACCCAGAACCCGUCUGCAUGGCUGUUUACAAACUACAGAAACACGUGAGACUUUGUCCCGACCCCUCAGGCUGGGCCGCCCCAGCCCGGGGUGCCUGUACUGUAUGUAUAGCUGCAAGGCCAGUUCUUGCACAAAGUGUGUGUGGUCUUACAGCCCCCGCGAGAGGUGCUCACCGGCAUUACCCCUUCUGCCAUUUCUGAUGGGUCACUACCUCAUGGCGGGGCUGCUAUGCUGUCCCAGCGAGUGUCAUUGACUAAACUUGAAAUCGGAGCUCUGAGCUCAUCGUCCUGAGCCAUUCUGAGCUGUGUUCUGGGAACGUUGGAGUCCCUGCUCACCCACCCUUUCGGGGAUGUCCAAGGUACAUAGUCAGGGGCAGGACCCCAGCUCCACUCAUUGCACAAGCAUCCUUCUUGUCGGAAGCACAAACUGGUUGUAAUUUGAGCACAAUAGCAGGUCUCUGGGUAGACAGUAUGAGCAAACUUGGCACCAGGAGAUCUUUCCCAGAUGGGCUUCGUCUUAGGUUAGACCAGGGCUGCCCGUGUCUGUGAGGUUAGACCAAGGCUGCCCAUGUCUUUGGCUGACGCACUAUGUACACUGGGAACUAUUAAUUUACUCCUUGUGCCCCUCCUAGGACUUGAGGCCCAGGCCACAUCUGUAUCCUGUGGGGGUCCUCUCUAGACCUGCACACCCCAAGCCUUUAACAACCAGAGUAUAGCUGGUACCUGACCCUACUGAGCCUGAAGAGCCUGGACCCAGACUCCCAUCUCUUGAGCUAACCCCGACAUCCUUGCUUCCGAUAUUGAUUAGCUUCCAUGGAAAGUGUCUACUGUCCCCACUCUCUUAGGUCUUUUCUGUGCACAGUCCUGGGCCAGGACCCAUCCCAGUAUUAACCAGUUCAGUGUUUGGUCUUGUUGGUGAGACUUGGUCCGACAGCAGCCAACUCAAUGCACAUGCUGCCUGGAGCAGCCUUUAGAGACUGCAGAGGAAAGAGAGAGAACUCGAAGAAUGAGAGGCUGACCCAGCGCAGCCCUUGAUGUGGUCAGAGUGCCACCACAGCUACUUGAAAAGGGACAGCUAUGGACCUGGGAGUAGCCUCCCACCGUUGCUCCAGCUGCAGGCCUGGAAUGGUCUUAGGCUGUGUGGCUUGGGCAAAGGGCAGCUUAAAGCACAAACAAGGAGAAGAUGCUGUCUUGCUGAAGGAUUCUUCUGCUAGCCAUUGUGGUGGUGGCGCCAGCAGGAAGCUGCUGAGAAGGCAGGACAUUACAUCUCUGCCCUGCCCUCUCCCAGUUCCUGGAGGCCUCCCUUGGAGUCUGGGCUGGGUGCAGCAGGCACACCCCCUUGGCUGUGCCUGGUAUGUUUGUGUGGGCAGGACUUGCCCUGCAGGAGCGGUGAAUUCCUUCCCACCAUGUAGCCCAAACCUGCCACAUCUAUCCCUUUGUCCUUUCAAAUAAAAAACUGCUUACUGCUGCUCUCUUUGCUGAGCACAGUGGCCAGUUCCCCAACAGACCUUCUUGAGCCCAGCCCUUUCACCUCCUGACUCCCAGGUCUUCACUGCUCCUUGUGAGCAAGAGAAUCUACAGGGAGAGUUCGGUUUCUUUGACAUCAUUGUUCUGUCCCCGGUGCCCCCCACCCACUUCAUCUCCAGCACCCAGCUGGCCUCCCUCAUCCCUGUCCCUUCCACCUUCACUUCUGUGUCCUAAAGGCUUUGUCAGAAAGUGGGAAGUCGGUACUGCCGAGAGUCAGAAAAGACCUCUGAUGUCUUGGUGCCCUGCCCUGCCCUGGCCUGCCCUGCCCUGUCACCAGCUCUUAUGAUGGUUGUCCCUACCCAGACUGCAGGGUCUCGUUUGGCUCAUGCACUCUCCUGUGACGUAGUAGCACAAGGUGUGUAUAUGUUUUGUACCUCUGCUGACAACUGUACAUAGUGUAUGAAAGUUAUUUAAGCCUCAUGCUGUACAUUUCUGUUCUGGAAAUCGGAUGUGUGUGUUCUAAGAGCUUGUCAUAAAUAAAACCAUUGUCCACAGA